CAGUUUUCUGUAGCAAUACAGGAAGCGGGCGCGUGGCGAACGGGUGCGUAACACGUGGGCAAUCUUCCUCCAUGUGGGGGAUAACCCGCCGAAAGGCGGGCUAAUACCGCAUAAUAUUUCGACGGCUUCGGACGUUGAAAUCAAAGCCCGCAAGGGCGCAAGGAGAGGGGCCCGCGCCCGAUUAGCUAGUUGGUGAGGUAACGGCUCACCAAGGCUAUGAUCGGUAGCCGGUCUGAGAGGAUGGCCGGCCACACUGGAACUGAGACACGGUCCAGACUCCUACGGGAGGCAGCAGUGGGGAAUCUUGCGCAAUGGGCGAAAGCCUGACGCAGCAACGCCGCGUGGGGGAUGAAGCUUUUCGGA
rnacentral:rRNA from 1 species